CGGGGUGUGGCGCAGCCCGGUAGCGCACCUGCUUUGGGAGCAGGGAGUCGGAGGUUCAAAUCCUCUCACCCCGACCA
rnacentral:tRNA from 1 species